AGUCUGCAACUCGACUACAUGAAGCUGGAAUCGCUAGUAAUCGCGAAUCAGCAUGUCGCGGUGAAUACGUUCCCGGGUCUUGUACACACCGCCCGUCACACCAUGGGAGUCGAUAACGCCCGAAGUCAGUGACCCAACCUGUAAGGGAGGGAGCUGCCGAAGGCGGGAUUGAUAACUGGGGUGAAGUCGUAACAAGGUAGC
rnacentral:rRNA from 1 species